CGGACUAUGGCGCAGCUUGGUAGCGCAUUACACUGGGGGUGUAGGGGUCGCAGGUUCAAAUCCUGUUAGUCCGA
rnacentral:tRNA from 1 species